rnacentral:tRNA from 1 species
CGGGGUGUAGCGCAGUUCGGCUAGCGCGCGUGCUUUGGGAGCAUGAGGCCCUCGGUUCAAAUCCGAGCACCCCGACCA